GUCUAUGUUGAGCUCAUGGCACGUUAUAGUACGUUGUACCUGUGAGGGUGCCUCCCCUUCCCAUACGAACGUGUGCACAUGGGUUUCUAAUAGCUGCAGUAGUGACUUUUUUACCUCGGAGGAUAAAGAUGUCCCCAUCAGGACUCCUCCUUUUGAGAGUUUGACUUCCUCAACUUGAUUGGAUGAGGUUGUGUCUUCUUCCUCCUCUCUUUCUUGGAUGUACAUGGUUACAGGUUUGGCUAUUUUAGUUGCCUUCCUGUACGAAUUUCUGGAGUCUUUCUGUGCUCCAAAAACUGUUGCCAUUCUGCCAUCUUUUCCUGGGUACCUGAAGCAUUGAUGAUAAGAUGAUGGUAUCGCUUUGAAACCGUGAAUGCUUGGUCUGCCCAAGAUCCCAUUGAACGGAGAGUCUAUAUUGACCACAAUGAAGUGUGCUGUACGCGAUACUCUCCCGUUUCUUUUUCCCAGGGAUAUCUGUAGAUCGAU
rnacentral:lncRNA from 1 species